rnacentral:rRNA from 1 species
GACGAACGCUGGCGGCGUGCUUAACACAUGCAAGUCGAGCGGUAAGGCCCUUUCGGGGGUACACGAGCGGCGAACGGGUGAGUAACACGUGGGUGACCUGCCCUCAGCUCUGGGAUAAGCCUGGGAAACCGGGUCUAAUACCGGAUAUGACUCCAUGACGCAUGUUGUGGGGUGAAAGCCUUGUGCGGCUGAGGAUGGGCCCGCGGCCUAUCAGCUUGUUGGUGGGGUGAUGGCCUACCAAGGCGACGACGGGUAGCCGGCCUGAGAGGGCGACCGGCCACACUGGGACUGAGAUACGGCCCAGACUCCUACGGGAGGCAGCAGUGGGGAAUAUUGCGCAAUGGGC